GAGGUUCCCCACCAGUGAUUCAGCCAAAGUCUUGAAGUUCUUUCAUAGUUAGUUGCUUUUGCCCAUUGAGAAUUGCAUGGUGGGAAAUGGAGGACAAACGACAGCUUCUUGCAGCGUAUUCCCACGUGCCACAGAUGUGGGUGGCGCUGGGGGGAAAUGGAUGUAACUGCUUUAAAUGCUACGAGAUAGACACAGAUGAAGCACAUGUGCAAUAGCAUUUUAAAAGAUGCAUUCCCUGAUGCAUGAGGAAAAAGAGGGGAUACGGAGUGUGCAAGGCUGCUGGUGGAAUUGGCCCUUCCCGGUUUCCAUCCCGCCUGCCCUCAACAGGGGCUUGUGUCAUUUGCACUGGGUGAAAAAAUGAAUCUCGGAC